UACGUAGGGUGCAGGCGUUAAUCGGAAUUACGGGGCGUAAAGCGUGCGCAGGCGGUUUGCUAAGACAGGUGUGAAAUCCCCGGGCUUAACCUGGGAACUGCGCUUGUAACUGGCAAGCUUGAGUGUGGCAGAGGGGGGUGGAAUUCCACGUGUAGCAGUGAAAUGCGUAGAGAUGUGGAGGAACACCGAUGGCGAAGGCAGCCCCCUGGGCUAACACUGACGCUCAUGCACGAAAGCGUGGGGAGCAAACAGG
rnacentral:rRNA from 1 species